rnacentral:rRNA from 1 species
AUGAGGACGCUGGCGACGAAGAGCUGGGAGGAGUCGAAGCUGCUAUGGCGUCUCGCCUUCCCGGCGGUCCUCACCGAGGUGUUCCAGUUCUCCAUCGGCUUCGUCACCGCCAGCUUCGUCGGGCACAUCGGCGUCGUCGAGCUCGCCGCGGUCACCGUCGUCGAGAGCAUCCUUGAGGGCUUCGCCUACGGAGUCCUGUUCGGCAUGGGCUGCGCGCUGGACACGCUGUGCGGGCAGGCGGUGGGCGCCGGGCAGCUGGACCUGCUGGGCGUCUACGUGCAGCAGUCGUGGAUCGUCUGCGGCGCGGCCGCAGUGGCGCUCACGCCGGCGUACGCCUUCGCCACGCCGAUCCUGGGCUCCCUCCUCCGGCAGCCGGCCGCCGUCGCGGUCGCCGCGGGGCCGUACGCGCGGUGGGCGAUCCCGCGGCUGCUCGCGCACGCCGCCAACUUCCCGCUGCAGAAGUUCUUCCAGACGCAGAGCAGGGUGUGGGCCCUGACCGCCAUCACCGGCGCCGCGCUCGCCAUCCACGUCGCGCUCACCUACGUCGCCGUCAACCGGCUCGGGUACGGCCUCCGCGGGGCGGCGGUCGCGGGCAACGUCUCCUACUGGCUCAUCGACGCCGCGCAGUUCGCCUACCUGGUCAGCGGUCGGUUCCCUGAGGCGUGGAAGGGGUUCUCCGUUCUCGCGUUCAGGAACCUCGCCGCCUUCGUCAAGAUCUCCCUCGUGUCCGCCGCCAUGAUCUGCUUGGAGUUUUGGUACUACGCGGCAUUGCUCAUUCUGGUGGGUCUCCUCAAGAAUGGCCAGCUCCAGCUUGAUAUCAUGUCAGUUUGCAUCAACUACGAGUUCUGGACCAUGAUGGUGGCGCUGGGCUUCAGCGAAGCAGUCAGCGUCAGGGUGUCCAACGAGCUGGGAGCGAGCAGACCCAAGGAGGCCAAGUUCGCGGUGGCCAUGGCGGCCAUGACAUCCGCGCUCAUCGGGGCCACCUUCAUGGCCGUCUUCUUCAUCUGGAGGAGAGGCUUGCCGAGGCUCUUCAGCGACGACGAGGAGGUGGUCGACGGAGCGGCGAGGUUGGGGUAUCUGCUCGCCGUCACCGUCUUCUUCAGCAGCAUCGGGCCAGUGCUCUCAGGUGUGGCUGUUGGAGCAGGGUGGCAAUUGCAGGUGGCAUUCGUAAACAUCGGUUGCUACUACUUGGUGGGCAUUCCGGUUGGUGUCCUGCUUGGAUUCAAGUUCAAACUUGGUGCAUUGGGGGUAUGGACGGGCAUGCUAACAGGCACGUUGCUACAGAUGGCUAUAGUUCUUGUCAUUAUCAUGAGAACAGAGUGGGAGAAACAGGCCUUGUUGGCAGCGGCGAGGAUCAAGGAGGUCGGAGGGAAGAAUGAGGACCAGCCAUUGGCCACAGCGGCAUGUAGAGAAGACGAGCAAAUGGACACUGCUAACGAUGAAACUUAUAUGCAAACACGCGAGAGAAAUAGAGAGUUAGAGUGUAAUGAACAGGCACUAGUAUAG